GAAAUUAAAACCCCUGUCUUCCAUUCUUUCACUCACGCCACCCAUUAAACUAAACUUCCAGAACAGAGAGUGAGAGAGGGGCUACGACAGUGCGGGCUGCGGGGUGAAAGAGAGAGAGAGUGUCUUCUAGAGAGAGAGGUUGCUAGGUGGGUGAACUUUGAAGGAGAAAAUUGAGGUAUUGGUGAAUUGGGAAGAUUUCUUAGAUUGCACAAAUUUGAGGAGCUCCUUUCGUGCAUGUUGCAUCAGAAGUUCAGUCUCGGGCUUGUUAAGUCUUAUCAUCCAGGGGGAGGUACUCUUAUCUCUCAUUUACUAUAUGCGGAUGAUGUUUUAAUUUUUACCAAUGAUGGGAGAUUAUCUAUAAGAAGUAUCAUGGCAACUCUUCAUCGAUACGAGAAGAUUUUUGGACAAUUAAUUAGUCCAAAUAAGUCUACCAUUUUCUUCCCUCCUCAUAUGUCUUUGGCUAGAAGAAAUGAUCUCAAAGGGAUUUCCAAUUUUGAAGAGGGCUCUUGGCCGUGUAUAUAUUUGGGAGUUUCGUUAUAUUAGGGAAGGUUGAAAAUAUCUUUAUUUGAUGGUAUCUUGGCUAGAAUUCAGAAAAAACUUGCAGGGCGGAAGAGUAAGAUGUUAUCGUUUGGUGGUAAGAUGUUGCUUUUACGGCAUGUUUUAAAUAGCACGCCUAUUCAUAUUUUGUCAGUAUUAAAAGUGCCCAAGGUAGUUUUUGGGAUGAUUAACAAGAUUUUUUCAGAUUUCCUUUGGGGAUCCUCGCUGGAAAAUAAGAAACCUAAAUGGGUGGCGUGGCAUAAGAUUUGAAAACCAGUGGAAGAAGGUGGUCUUGGCAUUAGAGACUUGAUGGAAGUGUAGGAAUCUCUUUUUAUGAAGUUUGGAUGGAAGCUGGUUACGGAGGUGUCGCUAUGGGCAGAUUUUUUCAGGGAAAAAUAUCUUCGCCGGGACUAUGUUUAUAAUUUAAUGAGUAUGAAUAAAGGGUGACAGUUUUGGAAAGGGAUUAUGGAGGUGAUGCCGAAAAUCAGUCAUAAUUCUAAGUGGCUGAUUGGGGUUGGAAACAUAAAUUUCUGGAUGGAUAAUUGGUUAGGGGGAGGACCUUUGAAGGACUUGUGUCUGGUUAUGGGAAGGGAAGGCCUGCAGGUUGCUGACGUGUUUGAUGAGAGGGGGCCUAAGUUGGAAGUCUUACGUAAUCUAGUUCUGUCAGAUGUUAUUCAUCUGAUUUCCAAGGCUAACAUGAAGAUUAGAAACAGGGCAAAUACGAUUAUAUGGAAGAGCUCUUGGGACGGUAAUUUCACAACAAAAUCAGCGUGGGAUAUCUGUAGAAAAUGUGGGGAAAUUUGUGGGUGGAGGAAGUGGCUUUGGCUUGAUAAAAUUCCAAAAAAAAAAAAUGUCCUUUCUUUGCUGGAGGUUGAAAAGAGGAGUAGUGCCGACGGAUGAUGUAAUUUAGAGUUUGGGCUUCCUUUAGUUUCUAAAUGCACUGUUGUAUAGUAUCAAAUUCUGAAACCUUGGAGCACAUUAUGUGUGAGGGAUUGAAUGCCCAAAUGGUUUAGAAAUAUUUUGCUAAUAUUUGUCAAAUCAGGUUGCCGUAGAUCAGGAACUGGAGAGGGAUGAUGGCUUUUUGGUGGAGGAGAGCUGCAAAAAAUAUCAAGCCGGUUGGAUCCGUGGAGUGAUGCCCAUUGUUAUCUCUUGGUGCCUUUGGAAAGCAAGGUGCUCGACAAUGAUGGAAAGGGCUCCUUUUCAGGUAAUGGAUAUUAUUAGACAAUUGAGAAUUAUGAUUAAUAACAAUUUUCAGGUUAUGAAGAGAAAUGAUUCUUUAGUUAUGGAAGGGCUACAUGUGCCGAUUAUUCCUAUUAAAAAAAAACAAGUGACCUUUGUUAAAUGGGAGUUGUCGAAGAGGGGUAUAGUGAAAUUGAAUGUUGAUGGUGUGGCUCAUGUAAACCCAGGAGAGGCAGGGGGUGGGGGUAUUAUUCGAGAUUGUAAUGGUAAAUGUAUUGCUGGUUUUGCGCAUUACGGGGUUGCUACAAAUACGGUUGCUAAAUGCCGUGCUUUAUUAGAUGGUUUGAGGAUUUGUAAAAAUUUGAGACUGCAUAAUGGUUUAGUAGAAUCUGAUUCUAAGGUUAUCAUGAGUUGGCUGGCUUCCAGAAUUUGUCGUCUUUGGUUUUUGUGGGAUUUUUGGGAAGAGAUAAAGGAUAUUUCCAUAGAGAUUAAUGCUCGUUUUAGUCAUGUUUUUCGUGAAGCUAAUAUGGUAGCAUAUUUUUUAGCUAAGAAGGGGACUAUGGGGGAAAAUAUAGAUUUUGUUGGGAUGGAUUUUCAGUAUACACGGCUUAGAGGAUUGAUUCGCCUUGAUCGGAUGGGGAUGGUUUUUAUUAGAGAGAAAUGAUUUUUUGUUAGGAGUUUUUUUGUAAUAAAGGUAUUCCUCUGCCAUAAGUGAGGAUUUUUUAAUCAUAUUGGGGUAGGGGCUUCUCUCGUACAUGGGGCCCUGACUUUUAAAAAAAAAUGCACAAGGCAUGAAAGUUUUUAUAUAAUUUGCUCGCGGGAGUGUUAACACUCAAGGUUAUAAAAGAUGUCCAUGCAAGAAGUACAAAAAUCUUAGUUCUUAUAACUUGGCGGUAGUGGAGGAGCAUUUAUAUGUCAAUGGAAUUGAUUCUAAAUACUCACCAUGGGUCUUACAUGGCGAACCUUUUUCGAAAGGAAUUAGAUUUGGUACUCAGUCCAAUCAAACUAUGGAAGGUAACAACAUCGACAUAAAUGACAUAGAUGUGGAUGUAUUUGAUGAUAGUGAUGAUAAUAAAAAGGAUAUGAUAGUGAUGUUAGGAAACCUUGGUGCUAGUAUGUUUGGGGUGAGGGAUGGAGAAGGAACAUCUACCCAAUCGUUUGAAGGGAAUGUUAAUUUUGGAAGAUUGUGGGAGGAUGCACAGCGAAAAAUGUACGAGGGGUGCACUCGUCAUAGCAAAUUUUCUUUCACAGUAAGGUUGCUUCAUAUUAAGUCUAUAUGUCAUAUUUCUGCAAAGGCCAUUAACAUGUUACUCGAAUUAUUUAAAGAGGCUCUCCCACCAGAUAACAUAUUACCCCGUAAUUUUUAUGAAGUGAAGAAAUUGAAGCGAGGAUUAAGAUUCGAUUAUAAUAUCAUUCAUGCAUGUAAGAAUGACUGUGUUAUCUUUUAGCAGCAAUAUAUAGAAUUUGAUGAAUGUCCAGUACGUCAUGAGUCGAGAUGGUCAUCCGCUAAGCAUAAUGUACCCCAAAAGGUGUUAAGACAUUUUCCUUUGAUUCCGAGACUACAAAGAUUAUUUACAUCUCGGUCGAUUGCUAAAGAUAUAUCUUGGCAUCGCACAGAAAGAGUCUCAAAUGAGAACUUCCUUACACAUCUGCAAAUUCUUUACAAUGGAAAAAACUUGAUGCCGAGUACCCAUGGUUUGUCAAAGAACCUCACAAUGUUAGACUUGGGUUAGCAACUGAUGGUUUUAAUCUAUUUGGAAACAUGAGCACUUCUCAUAGUACAUGACUAGUGAUAUUAAUGCCCUAUAAUUUGCCACAUUGGAAGUGCAUGAAGGAUUCGUACUUUAUGAUGACUCUUCUCUUUCAAGGGCCAAGGUCACUAGGGAAUGAAAUUGACGUAUAUCUUCAGCCACUAAUAACAAAAUUGAAGGAGUUGUGGGAUAAUGGUGUCAAUACAUAUGAUACGGCCUCAUCGCGGAAGUUCAAGAUACAUGCUGUAGUGUCAUGGACAAUAAAUGAUUUUCCAGAGGUGGAGCACAAAAGGUAAAAUGGCUUAUCCUAUUUGUAAUAAAGACACUCAGUUUCAAUGGUUGACAAAUGGUAGAAAAUUAUGUUUCAUGGAACACCGUCGAUAUUUAUCACAUGAUCAUAGAUGACAUUCAAAUAGAGUCAUAUUUGAUGGAGGGGUUGAGCACAGAUCAUCACCGAUGUUGUUGUCUGGGCUAAAUAUUAUCAUACAGUUGAUGAAUGUUCCAGAAAAUAGAUUUGGGAAGGAUGGAAGAGAUCGAAAGAGAAAACGGCAAUCAAUGGAGUUGAAUUGGACAAAAAAAAAAAAUACCCCACUUUUUUUAAUUACCCUACUGGUCUACCUUGACACUUCGUCAUAAUUUAGAUGUUAUGCACAUUAAGAAAAAUAUAUGCGAGAAUAUACUGAGUACUCUGAUGUCAAUAGAAAGGAAGACAAAAGAUACAGCUAACUCUCGUAAAGAUUUAAAGGAGUUGGAGAUAAGAAGAAAGUUGCAUUUGCAAGAUAAUGGGUCUUUAGCUUAUAUCCCCUUUGGUUGGUAUACACUAUCAAAUGAUGAGAGGAAAAAAUUCUGUGAAUGGUUCAUGACAAUCAAAUUACCUGAUGGCUAUGUUUCGAACAUGUCCAGAUGUGUGUGAACCCAUGAUUGGAAGAUAACUGGUUUAAAAAGUCACGGCUGUCAUGUAUUUUUGCAACGUUUAUUGCCAGUUGGUGUGCGUGGAAAGCUUAUUGUAGAGUUCGUGCAGCUUUGACAGAAUUGGGAAGAUUUUUUAGGGACAUUGCAAUAACAUGUUGAAAAUUGAUGCAUUAAUAAAGAUGGAAGCUAGCAUUGCAGUGAUAUUGUGUAAAUUAGAGAGUUUGUAUCCACCUUCAUUCUUUGAUGUAAUGGUUCAUUUGGCUAUGCACUUUCCUCGUAAGGCUUUAGUUGCUGGCCUGGUCCACUAUAGAUAAAUGUAUCUUAUUGAAUGUUUUUUGGAAAAACUUAAGCGAUCUGUGGGGAAUAAGGCUUGUUCAGAAGGUUCGAUUAUAGAAUCAUAUAUUGAUAAUGAAUGGCAUAUAUUUUGUUUUAUCUAUUUUCAUGGGAUUGAGUCAAGAUUCAUGAGACUGGUCUGAAAUUAUGAAUGUGGACAAAUGGGAGUUAAUUCAUUAUGUAUGUAUUUUCUCAAACUGUAUGUCCCAUAGGCGCACAAAUGAGCUAUGACCUAUGUGGAUGAGAGUUUGCUAGAUUCAGAUGGUAUGUAUUGAAUAAUUGUGCGGAGAUUGACAACUACUUGAGGUUAGUGAUCUAUGCCUAUUAAAAGAAAAUUAAAAUCCUUGCUUGUAUCCAUAAAACUUGAUCACUAUUAAUACAAUAACUUGAACAUGGACAAUGAACAUAUACAAUUACUUCGAGAGGCCAGUGUAACUGAUGUAGAAAAGAAACACGAAGAUGAGUUCGCCUCGUGGUUUGAAGAUAUGGUAUUACUAAAAAAUUUCUUACUAUCUAUGAGUUUCAUACCAUUGAUAUCUCACACUGCUAUAACUGGCAUAAAAUUUAUAUAUUGGUAGGCUAUAUUGAAAUAUGGUGAUAAUCCAAAAGAAAUCACAAGUGAAUUGUAUGCUUUGGCUCCUGAUCCAUCUAGGCGGGCCAUCCAAUAUUUAGGAUGUUUGGUGCGUGGAUAUAAAUUUCACACUGCUAACAGAGAACACUAUAGAAAAACACAAAAUUGUGAGGUUAUAGUCGAAAGAAGAUAUGAUUGGGAUAAUAUUGACUUCUACAGAGUUGUAAAAGAUAUCAUUGGGUUAAAGAUGUUUCAAAUCCUAGGUUAGGAGUGCGUAAUGAUGAAUAUUUUGUAAGUAUCAAUACAUCGCACACGUGAUAUGAGGACAAUCAUUUCAUUCUUGCUUGCCAAGCAAAUCAUGUUUAUUAUUUUGAUGAUCCAGAGUACGGAAACUCAUGGCGAGUAGUACAGAAGUUUGCACCAAGAAAUAUAUAUGAUUUCAUUCCAAAGGUAGAUGAACAACAUGAUGGUUCAACAAAUAAAGAAGCAUAUCAAGAAAACGAAUCAGGCAUCAAUCUAUUUAUUGAUCUCAGCCAAUAUGAUAUGGUUUUAUUGUGUAGAGAAGAUGUUGAACCAAAAGUAAUUAAGGGUGGAUUGUCAGGGGAACAUUCAUCAACUGAAGUGUCUAGUGAGGAUGAGAGUGACUGAUCCAGCAAAAGUGAUAGUGAUUGAUAUCUGUUUUAUGUAAGUAUCGAAUUAUUUACAAAUAAUAACAUAUCUCAAAAUAAUAAUCUAUUACAAUUUAAAAUAGAUAUGCCUUCGAAAUGCAAAUCAACUCCUAUGCCAUCUCCAUCCAUUACUGACUCUCCAAUUGGUUCGCCUGCCAUGUCUGUUGGGCCAACAUCACCAGACCCAAAACAAGUGAGAAGAUCAACUAACAGUUGAUGAGUUGAUGUCAAAUGCAUUCUAGAGGUACAAAGGUAGAUGCCACGCAUAUUAUCAAAAGUUUAGUAGUGCAACAAAGACGCAUCAAAAUCUAUUUAAGAGAUGCUACCAAACGAAUGAGAGAAACUUUGUGAUAUAUUUAAAGAUCCCUCAUAUCACCAACGGAGUACUAUGAACAAAGCAAACAGAACAAAUUUAACGAUAAACCAUAAUGUAGAUUCUCGAUAUUUUCAUCGACAAUUAAAAAAAUUGGAAGAAGAAAGUCCUAUUGACUAUAAUCUGACCCAAUUGUAUGCUAAAUCACAUAAAAAUUGUGACGGUAUUUAGACCAAUCCCAAAGUAGAAACAAAUUAUGUAAGUUUUUUCUUCGUAUUGUCUAAUAAUAUUUAUGUUAUUUAUAACAAUAUUUAAUGAUUUUUUUUGUAGAACAAGAUGGUAUCACUUAUGGAAAAUGUUACGGCUCCAUCUGACGAAUUAUCUAUGAAUGAUGUUUAAAUAUUUUUUCAAGUUCUUAGACCACAUUCUAGAUAUACGAGAGGAUUAGGACGUUGUGCAAAACCCUCCUCAACAUCGUCAUCCUCUUUUCAAGUCAGAUUGAAUAAUAACUUUCAGGAAUUAGAAGAAGUAAGGCAGGUGAUCAAACAUUUGAGGUCACAACAAAGAGAGUUGCAGACUCAAUUAGCUUAGGCAGCGGAUAUAAAGGCAAAAUUAGAACAAAACAUGUAGAAAAAACUCAAGAUCCAAUCUCAAAAAAUAUUUGAACAAUGGCAAUUAAUGAUGUAUCAAAAUUGUAUGCCGCUACCAUCUUAGAACUUAUUUUCUUUACUUGUAUUUUUUUUUUUUUUUUUUUUUGACUUGAUGCAAUGUUUGAACAAAUGGGAUGUUUUAAAUAUAACAUUUUAACAUUUGUUUCAAUUUUGAAUUUACAGUUUAAUGUAGCAUGAGUAUCGUUCGAAUGUAACGUACCCAGUUCGAAUGGUACUUUAUGUAUAAUUGCUUGUUUGAAUGUAUUUUAGAUUCCAUUCGAAAAACCAACCGAAUCCAUUCCACUGGGUUGAGCCACGACUUUUAUGUUUGAACAAAUUACCUUCU